UACAGAGGUCUCGAGCGUUGUUCGGAUUCAUUGGGCGUAAAGGGUGCGUAGGCGGCGGGGUAAGUCUGAUGUGAAAUCCCGGGGCUCAACCCCGGAAUGGCAUUGGAUACUGCCUUGCUAGAGAACUGGAGAGGAGACUGGAAUUUACGGUGUAGCAGUGAAAUGCGUAGAGAUCGUAAGGAAGACCAGUGGCGAAGGCGAGUCUCUGGACAGUUCCUGACGCUGAGGCACGAAGGCCAGGGGAGCAAACGGG
rnacentral:rRNA from 1 species